rnacentral:lncRNA from 1 species
CAGUGGGUAGGGAAAGGGUCAUAUAAAAAUACGAAGAAAUAGCCAUAUUAAAUUUCUACCUGCCAUUUGCCUCAGCAAACAAAGCGAGCGUACGUUUCUAAGGCUAAAGAUAGAGCGAGCUCGUGUGCCAGCAGAAGCCUCCUCUAUUUAUAGCAGUUCUGACAAUAGUUUUUUUUUUUUUUUUUUUUUUACAAACUCAAGAAGAACAGAUUCACUUGAAAAGUGGAUGCCAGUCACCUGGUUCCCACCGCUGCCUUCAAAGCAGCAGCAGAUAGCAAAGGGAUACUCUAAGAUCUGUAAAGGUGAUUUAACGAGAAGCACAAUUUUUAUUGUGACCAGUCAUGUUCCAGAAACAGUCACUGUCUACCUUUGCCCUUGCCUUUUCUGUAACUUGGCCACCUACUGUAUUUGCAAAUCUAGUGUAGAUUUUGAUCACACGAACUUCUUUGGAUCCAGAAGUCUGGGGCAGAGCGCUGGGGGAUUAUAAUUUUGCAUUACCUGGCCGAGAGUAGCAUUUUAGCCAACAGUCAUCAUUGCAAGUAGGAGGGAGCGUAGGUGGCAUUUUACAUGGCUGCAAGUGUUGUCAUACCGGAUCCUACUUUAAAACAGUUUCGGUAGCAGUAAGCUGAGAAAUACUGGUGACGGUGUUGCAGCCUGUGCAAGCCACACAGCCCGUGUGGUGUACACAUCGCGCGCAAGCAAGCCAUUCAGUCUGUGGAUUGUGCACAUUGGCAUGUGGAGGCUGUUGAAUUCAACCUUUUUUAAAAUUGUGGUUUUUAGUAAAAAACGCUUAUUUUUUCCCGAAGGUGGAAUUUAAUGUUUUGUAAUGAUGAAUAUGAAAAUGCCUGUCAUCUUUAGAUCAUUUAAAGGUUAACUAAUGUGAGAAUUUCAAAACAAAUUUCAAUACACUUUUGAAAAGCAUGUCUGCCCUCUCACACUUCUAUGUAUUUGAUUUUGGAUACACUCACCCUUUUUGAGAUAGCAUUUUGCUCCCUUAAUCCCCCUUGUUUUGAUUUUUGAUUUUUGUUUUGUUUUGGGUUUCUUUUUUUUCCCCCUUCAGAGAGUAAAAGCUUUGUAUUUCUUUCUUUAAAAAAAUUGUUUAAAAGAAGCCACUUGAACCUCCAGUAAAGGCUGUUGCCUAAGCAGGGCAUACUUCGUCUGUUCUUGUCUGUGCCAUCUGCUAUGGUGUCGUCAGUUACAUGGCGUUAAUUUCCUGCCACUACAGAUCUUUUGAAGAUUGCUUAAAUGCUGGUGUCUGUUAGAAUCCUUCAGACUUACAGAUGUAAUUAAAGGCUUUUCUUACUAUGUUUUAACCAAAGAUGUGGAGCAAUCCAAGCCACAUUAUCUUCUGCAUUAAAUUUGUCCAUCUUGGUUAUUCAUAAUCGGGUAUUGCAUUUUGCCUUCCCUGUUCAUACCUCAAAUUGAUUGAUACCUCAAUUUAAUUCAGAGAGGUUGGCUAAGCGGUGGAUUCUGGCUGUGGUUUGAAUGCGUCAGUAUUAGAGUAUGCAGACAAGGGUCACCGUAGGCAUAGAGCUUGGAUUGCUUCAGAUGGUUUGCCGUACCGUUUUUUCUUCUUUUUCCUUUUCUGGGGACUUGUUUCCAUUCAAUGACAAUAAUUAAAAUAGCUUGUAAAUGAGGGCAUACAAGCAUUUGCAACAAGUAUUCCAAUAGAGGCUCACAGCGGCAUAAGCUGGACUUUGUCGCCACUGGAUGACAAGAUGGCAUACCUAAGCUAACCGCACGCGUGUAUCUCAAGGGACUUAAAUUCAGCUGUCUGUAGUGAAUUCAAGUGGGAAAUGUUCAAAAGUUUCUCCUGCUGGAAAUAAGGUAUAAUUUGUAUUUUGCAGACAAUUCAGUAAAGUUACUGGCUUUCUUAGUGAUAC